rnacentral:rRNA from 1 species
GACGAACGCUGGCGGCGUGCUUAACACAUGCAAGUCGAACGGUAAGGCCCUUCGGGGUACACGAGUGGCGAACGGGUGAGUAACACGUGGGUGAUCUGCCCUGCACUUCGGGAUAGGCCUGGGAAACUGGGUCUAAUACCGGAUAGGACCACUGCCUUCAUGGGUGGUGGUGGAAAGCUUUUGCGGGGUGGGAUGGGCCCGCGGCCUGUUAGCUUGUUGGUGGGGUGAUGGGCGACCAAGGCGACGACGGGUAGCCGGCCUGACGGGGUGCCCGACCAAACUGGGACUGAGAUACGGCGCAGACACUUCCGGGAGGCAGCAGUGGGGAAUAUUGCACAAUGGGCGCAAGCGUGAUGCGGCGAGGCCGCGUGAGGGAUGACGGCCUUCGGGUUGUAAACCUCUUUCAGCACCGAAGAAGCGCAAGUGACGGUAGGUGCAGAAGAAGGACCGGCCAACUACGUGCCAGCAGCCGCCGUAA